rnacentral:tRNA from 1 species
GGGGUUGUGGCCCAGUGGAACAGUGCUCGCCUACCAUGUGUGAGGUACUGAGUUCGAUCCUCAGCACCACA